rnacentral:piRNA from 1 species
CUGAGGUGAUCUGAUAAGAUGCAUGG